GGUAUUCAUAAUUUUUGUGAUUUAGAACGACCAUAAUUUUGUAGCAGCGACGACGGAGGAAAUCGAAAGUGAAAUGGAAAUAAAUAAGAAGCACAUUCAGAGUCUCACAGACUUGGUUACUAAGAAUUGAUUGUUAGUUCAGACGGGAGCAAUGCAAUUACAAGCUGCGUCAUUAAAAACAAUGAAGGUCAUGGAAUACUUAAUAGUUUACGACAUUUAAAACCCAUUAAAGCUAUAAUGGGAAUAUACGAAGAGUUAGGUGGAAGCAAACUAUACAAUUAUUCGUUUCAAGAUACUCUUAUGGGUUGUCUUAGUGAUGAAAUUGUUUAUAUUUAUUUUCGACUUAUUGCCAAAAAUUUUCAGGUAAUAUUUCUUUGAACAUUUUAUAACAUAUAAUACAAACUACAUUUAGAUAUAAUAUAAAUCUCCAUAUAAUAAAAACGAUAUUUAGAACAUUAGAACUUAUGAUACAACAUAUAUAUCAAC